GACACUUCAUCGCGGCUUUUCCUCGAGAGCUCCUGUGUUUUCACCUAGGCGGUCUCUCUCUUUCCGUCUCCUUUUCCAUGUCUGCUGACCGCCGUCAUAUCAACGCACGCCAAGCCACAUUUGUACGUCCUCACAGCUUCGCUCAGUCUAUGAGACUGCUCUGGCACGGGGCAAGUGCCACAGGAUGCUCGGAAACUUGGACGCAGCCGCUGGAGAUGCUCUGCGCAGCUUCCACGACGCGCUAGAUCAAGCCCAGCAGUCGCUCCAGCGAGAUGAGGGGCGCCUCCGCGCAACGGCGCAGCUGCUAAGCGAUUUGACGCUAGAGGUGGACUGCCUAAAAGCGGACAGCGCCCCCAACAGCGCCACUCGUCAGCGACGGGAAGCACUUCAAGCGGAAAAGCUAAAAAUGCUGCAUCACACGCGGCAUCAACGCGAGGCCAUUGCCGCGACGGCGGCCCACAUCCAGCAUCUGAAAGAGCCCCGCGUGAAGCUCACCGAGCGGGUGGAUACGCUGAAAGCGGACGUCAAGGCGCUCCGUCGACAGUACGGGCUUCGAGCGGCACAGGUACACGCAUUCAUUGCGCAGUUUUUGCAGCCGCAGAACAGCCUGGAAAAUCUUCGAUGCCAGCUUGCGCAACUCCAGCAGGGGCGUGUCUCCCAAGCAGAGGCUUUGAGGGCGUCCACACGGCAUCUGGAGGAGCUAAAGGCAGAGUUAGCAGCACUGAAAGCUGCCGGCCGGUUUGAUACGACCACCGAUCCAAACGGAGACUCCACCGCAGGCAAUGACCAACCUCUGGGAGCCAAGCGCGACCAUGAAGCUGCUGCAGCGUCAGGACUAGCUAGCGACGGCAAUGGGGAAGAGCUAAACGCUGAGGGCGACGAGUGCACUGGGAGUGUGCCUCUUCUCAGUGAAGCAGAUAGGCGCUCUGAGGCGAGGAGGCGGCGGUCUGAGCAGGCGGCUGCCCACAAAGCCGCUGAGACUCAGCAGGCUGCGGAGCAAGCGAGGCUCGAGGCCCUUCGCGUGGAUCUGAAACGCCAGGUCUUGCUGCUCUGCCAAGAGAUUGAGGGAGCCGACGCAGCGCAGCAGCGAGAGCAAAAGGCGUACCAUGACGCGUUGAAUGACGCCGCAAGUGGAGCUGGUGGAGGCGUGCUCCGGCAGUGCCAGAGGUGCGCGUGCGACCUUUUUGACGGCUUCUCGUGACAGAUACCGAAGGAGAGGGGUGGGGUGGUGUGGGGGAGAGAGAACGUUGGAGAAGUUUAUCAUCAGAGAUUGUGCAAGCGCUUCUACUGCUUUUUACUCUGCUAGAGGUCCAUGGACAGAGUUCUGUCGAUGUCCCGUUUCUUUGAAUUCCAACACUGCUUUCUGAUGUGCAUCCUCAAAAAGCCCUCAAGGAGAGUCUAUGCGACCUAUUCAGCUGCACAGAAGCACGUUUGCCUCGUCUCGCUAAACUGGAU
rnacentral:misc_RNA from 1 species